AAACAAACAACGAUUUCCUUGGAGGGGCCCCCAGUGAGAAUUUUGGCCAAGGGGGGCCACCCCUAUUCCACCCCUGCCGGUGUGGAGAAGAAGCCUUUUUGGUUAAAAACCCUUUUAAGCGAGGGAAGAAGCCCUUGCGGUUUAAUCCCCGUUAAGGGAUGACUUUAGCUGCAAAAAUAAGCCCCGGCUAAUUUUUGUCCCAGCAGCCGCGGUAAUACAGGGGGUGCAAGCGUUAAUCGGAAUUACUGGGCGUAAAGCGAGCGUAGGUGGCUUGAUAAGUCAGAUGUGAAAUCCCCGGGCUUAACCUGGGAACUGCAUCUGAUACUGUUAAGCUAGAGUAGGUGAGAGGGAAGUAGAAUUCCAGGUGUAGCGGUGAAAUGCGUAGAGAUCUGGAGGAAUACCGAUGGCGAAGGCAGCUUCCUGGCAUCAUACUGACACUGAGGCUCGAAAGCGUGGGUAGCAAACAGGAUUAGAUACCCUGGUAGUCCACGCCGUAAACGAUGUCUACUAGUCGUUGGGUCCCUUGAGGACUUAGUGACGCAGCUAACGCAAUAAGUAGACCGCCUGGGGAGUACGGCCGCAAGGUUAAAACUCAAAUGAAUUGACGGGGGCCCGCACAAGCGGUGGAGCAUGUGGUUUAAUUCGAUGCAACGCGAAGAACCUUACCUGGUCUUGACAUACACAGAAUCUUGUAGAGAUACGAGAGUGCCUUCGGGAAUUGUGAUACAGGUGCUGCAUGGCUGUCGUCAGCUCGUGUCGUGAGAUGUUGGGUUAAGUCCCGCAACGAGCGCAACCCUUGUCCUUAGUUACCAGCGGGUUAAGCCGGGAACUCUAAGGAUACUGCCAGUGACAAACUGGAGGAAGGCGGGGACGACGUCAAGUCAUCAUGGCCCUUACGACCAGGGCUACACACGUGCUACAAUGGUAGGUACAGAGGGCAGCUACACAGCGAUGUGAUGCGAAUCUCAAAAAGCCUAUCGUAGUCCAGAUUGGAGUCUGCAACUCGACUCCAUGAAGUAGGAAUCGCUAGUAAUCGCGGAUCAGAAUGCCGCGGUGAAUACGUUCCCGGGCCUUGUACACACCGCCCGUCACACCAUGGGAGUUGAUUGCACCAGAAGUGGUUAGCCUAACUUAGUGAGGGCGAUCACCACGGUGUGGUUGAUGACUGGGGUGAAGUCGUAACAAGGUAACCGUA
rnacentral:rRNA from 1 species